rnacentral:rRNA from 1 species
UCCUACGGGAGGCAGCAGUGAGGAAUAUUGGACAAUGGGCGCAAGCCUGAUCCAGCCAUGCCGCGUGCAGGAUGACGGUCCUAUGGAUUGUAAACUGCUUUUGUACAGGAAGAAACACUGGUUCGUGAACCAGCUUGACGGUACUGUAAGAAUAAGGAUCGGCUAACUCCGUGCCAGCAGCCGCGGUAAUA